rnacentral:tRNA from 1 species
GCACCCGUAGCUCAGCUGGAUAGAGUGGCGGCUUCCGAAGCCGUAGGUCACAGGUUCGAAUCCUGUCGGGUGCA